rnacentral:rRNA from 1 species
GAAAGUGCGGCGAGAGAUUAGGCAUGGCAGUCGAACGAAUCCCAGCUUUGUAGCAAUACCGAGCUGGGGGAAGUGGCGCAUUGGGCAGUAAGGCGUGGGUAACCUACCCCGGGGACUGGGCUAGCCUCCCUAACGGGAGGGUAAUACCGGGCGAUUCGGCGAGGCCGCAUGGUUUUGCCGGGAAAUGAGUUUCGCCUCGGGAGGGGCUCACGUGAUAUUAGCUUGUUGGCGGGGUAACGGCCCACCAAGGCCAAGAUGUCUAGCGGGUGUGAGAGCACGACCCGCGCCACUGGCACUGAGACACUGGCCAGACUCCUACGGGAGGCUGCAGUCGAGGAUCUUCGGCAAUGGGCGCAAGCCUGACCGAGCGACGCCGCGUGCGCGAUGAAGGCCUUCGGGUUGUAAAGCGCUGUCGAGGGGGAGGAAGCCGCAAGGUUGACCUAUCCCUGGAGGAAGCACGGGCUAAGUUCGUGCCAGCAG